GGGACGUAUUGUGAGUUAAGCAACGGAGAGCCAAGAACAUCCCAGUGAGGAGUUUGAAAACCACAGAUGCUUCAGCAGCCACCCCCAGCACAGACUGUUCAAGAGUCUCCUGAUUUCUCUGGUGAAAAAUCGUUUGUGCAGUGAAUGGCUUGACACAGCUGCACCAGAGUCUGUCCUCAAAGUUCUGACCUGCCUCCGAAUACUGGUCCGAGACACCGAGCUUCAGG
rnacentral:lncRNA from 1 species